AAUAAGUCGAAAAAGACAGACGAGCUCGAGCGAUGAGAAGAAAGGCCCUGAGUGCAAUGGAGUGGGUGGCGAAUUCGGCAGAUUAGAGGUUGAAAAUUAGAUAAAAAAACAAGAUCAACAAUUUGAGACGAAGAAAGAAAACAGGAGCUUGAUUAAUGACCUCUAACUGAAGGGGAAAGAGAUGCUCUGCUGCUUGCCAGUCUUCGUCUAAUGAAUGCUCUCGUGCACACAAAGCCAGCGUCUCAUUAUCCGCCUGGAUCUGGAUGCGCCGUCGGAGUGACCACGGAGAGAGUGGAGCCAGAGAAUGGGCCGCGGGCAAAGGUUCCAGGCAGCGGUGGGAGUCCACGCGACGCAUGGACGUACGCUGACACAGUAUACGGCCCGGUUGUUUACGCGGCUUUUGAUUGGCAGUUUAAGGGCUAAUUACAAAGGCGCGCACAGUUUACAGCUCGAAUAAUUUCACUUUUAAAUUCACUGUCAGUUUUGUCGCUAUGGCAACGCAUAACACAUUAACACGGCGAUAAUUAAGCCGUUUGAACUUCCUCCUGCUCCAGUCUGUUCCUGCCAUUGGCGUCUUCUUAGCAACUGAUGCAGAUGAUCCGCGCCACCAUGUAAAACAUUUUGUUAGCUCCACGUUCCAUUGUCUGCGUCCGGCGACGUGACGUCACCAGAGGCCGCCGUCGGUGCGAUGCCCGGUCGUCGUCUUGCGGUGUGGAAGCCUGUCCAUGCCCGUCCUGCUACUGGAGUAAGAACCACGACACCCAACUGAUCCUCGGUGGGGCUCAUUGUCCAAGUUGCCCUCCCAGAAACAGUAAACGCUCCUAUCCAGAUGUUUUAUUUUCUAAUAUUAGCCUUCUGUGUUCUUGUAGGUAAUUCUGAGGCUCCGUCUAUUGACAGGAAGCAUCAGAUGCAGCGUAUUGACUCCUGUUAUCUUUCUUUUCUUUGGAACAGGCCACUCAACUGCUCACAGUUUACUCACACAAUGUCUUUGGACACGACCAGACUUCAAGGCUGUGCCUCAGUGUGGCUUUAUGUUUUAUCUUUUAGCAGGGUGUUUGUUCCACCAUUGCACUGGACCAGACGUUACUAAAUGUGCUGGCGCCCCUUUUUAGCCCGGCCACGUUUCUGUACUGUACGCGACUGGCAGCUCGGGUUCAACCCCCCCCCUCAGCGCUGAUCCAGGCUCCCUAACGGUAAGACAUGCAACCAAUUUUAUUCUUACUGUAGAUUAAAUACUUCUCCUCCUCUUCACGACAAGUUUAACCUUUACAGUAUCUGCCUACCGGCCUCACCAUCCUUCCUACUUGAACCUUCUGUUUCCACAUCAUUUGACGUUCUCCUCUGCUCGUGCUCUUAUUACCAAAGCUGCUGGAGGAGCCACAAAUUAAGUCUGGGCAUGUACUGUAAAUGUGUUUUGCUAUUAAUUUUGGAGAAGCAGUAAUUGAAAUGAGGCCUGUUUAACAAAGUUUGGUAUGUUCUCAGUGGGUGGGAAACAUAUCACUUACUGUAGCUGCCUGGUCACAUACAGAUUUGUAAAAGUAGUUUUCGAGUGCAGUAAAUCCAAGCACAUGAG
rnacentral:lncRNA from 1 species